GAGACCAGUUGCUACUUGAUAUACACAUGCAAGUCUCCGCACCCCUGUGAAAACGCCCUUUAAUCCCUUCAAGAGAUAAGGAGCCGGUAUCAGGCACAAAAAUUAGCCCAAGACACCUAGCUAUGCCACACCCUCACGGGCGCUCAGCAGUGAUUAACAUUGAUUAUAAGCGCUAGCUUGAAUCAGUCAAAGUAGAUAGGGCCGGCUAAUCUGGUGCCAGCCGCCGCGGUUACACCAUGUGGCCCAAACUGACCCCCCCUUCGGCGUAAAGCGUGAUUAAAGCACCCCUUCUGCUGCAAUUUAACUGAAACUAAGCUGUAACACGCUUGUUCUUAGGAAACCUAAUAAACGAAAGUCAUUGCA
rnacentral:rRNA from 1 species